rnacentral:misc_RNA from 1 species
CAAGAAGCCGAAAGGCUACUUAAAACCAUCGCGAACUUAUCCAAGUUGCUUCGGCGGCGCGGCCCCCCUCACGGGGGACCGCAGCCCCCGCCUCUCGGGAGGUAAGGGGCAGCCGCCGGAGGUACGAAACCCUGUAUUAUAGUGGUAUCUCUGAGUAUAAAACAAAUAAGUUA